GACGAACGCUGGCGGCGUGCUUAACACAUGCAAGUCGAACGAAGUGGCGAACGGGUGAGUAACGCGUAAUCAACCUGCACUUCAGAGGGGGACAACAGUUGGAAACGACUGAUAAUACAGCAUACAGAAGGAGGGGAUUGCGUAUGAUGAGCUAGUUGGAGGGGUACCGGCCCACCAAGUCGAUAAUCAGUAGCCGGUCUGGGAGAAUGAACGGCCACAUUAGGACUGAGACACGGCCCAGACUCCUACGGGAGGCAGCAGUGGUGAAGCUUCCGCAAUAGACGAAAGUCUGACGGAGCAACGCCGCGUGAGGGAUGACGGCCUUCGGGUUGUAAAGCUCUGUUAAUCGGGACGCGGUACCGGAAUAGAAAGCCACGGCUAACUACGUGCCAGCAGCCGCGGUAAUAC
rnacentral:rRNA from 1 species